CAGCACCUCAAGUGGUCAGGAUGAUUAUUGGGCCUAAAGCAUCCGUAGCCGGCUCUGUAAGUUUUCGGUUAAAUCUGUACGCUCAACGUACAGGCUGCCGGGAAUACUGCAGAGCUAGGGAGUGGGAGAGGUAGACGGUACUCGGUAGGAAGGGGUAAAAUCCUUUGAUCUAUUGAUGACCACCUGUGGCGAAGGCGGUCUACCAGAACACGUCCGACGGUGAGGGAUGAAAGCUGGGGGAGCAAACCGGAUUAGAUACACGAGUAGUCC
rnacentral:rRNA from 1 species